rnacentral:misc_RNA from 1 species
GAUGAAGAACGUAGCGAAAUGCGAUACGUAAUGUGAAUUGCAGAUUUCAGUGAAUCAUCGAAUCUUUGAACGCACAUUGCGCCCGCUAGUAUUCUGGCGGGCAUGCCUGUUCGAGCGUCAUUUCAACCAUCAAGCCCCCGGCUUGCGUUGGAGCCCUGCGGCUGCCGCAGGCUCCCAAAUCCAGUGGCGGGCUCGUCGUCGUACCGAGUGCAGUAAACAUCCUCGCUCAGGGAACGUGACGGGUUCUUGCCGUGAAACCCCCCACAUAUCAAGGUUGACCUCGGAUCAGGUAGGAAUACCCGCUGAACUUAAGCAUAUCAAUAGCGGAGGA